rnacentral:rRNA from 1 species
GAUGAACGCUAGCGGCAGGCCUAAUACAUGCAAGUCGAACGGGAUCCAGAUCAAAGCUUGCUUUGGUCUGGUGAGAGUGGCGCACGGGUGCGUAACGCGUGAGCAACCUACCCUUGUCAGGGGGAUAGCCCGGCGAAAGUCGGAUUAAUACCGCAUGACAUCAUUGAGAGGCAUCUUUCGAUGAUCAAAGAUUUAUCGGACAAGGAUGGGCUCGCGUGACAUUAGCUAGUUGGUAAGGUAACGGCUUACCAAGGCUGCGAUGUCUAGGGGCUCUGAGAGGAGAAUCCCCCACACUGGUACUGAGACACGGACCAGACUCCUACGGGAGGCAGCAGUAAGGAAUAUUGGUCAAUGGACGGAAGUCUGAACCAGCCAUGCCGCGUGCAGGAGGACGGCCCUAUGGGUUGUAAACUGCUUUUAUACGGGAACAAACGUCGGUACGUGUACCGGUCUGAGUGUACCGUAAGAAUAAGGAUCGGCUAACUCCGU